CUUUUUCCUACAGUAGAGAAACAAAUUUUUAACUUGACCAGAACGUCACCAGACUUCAGUUUUAGAAGCUUGGACUCAUCUUGAUCUCAAGUUUGACCUAAUGUACUUUUCACAAGUUUGUGAGAACAGAAUGGAAGAAACAAUAUUUUGGAUGCUGGAACAAUUUACUCAGAACAACCAGAAGCCAACACUGCAGAAGCUGAACCAGGGUAAACCAACAUCAAGCAACAUUCACGCUGCCAAACCAUGGGGCCACUGUUUGGCCAGCUGCUUUUUCAGGCAUUUUUGUCUCCUGCUUUGCUUUACCACACAGCUCCACAAGUACUUGUGCCAGCCAGCAAGUCAGGAACAAGCCAGCGACCACUGCUCAAAAUGCCUCACCAAGUCCUGGCCAACACAUGCCAUCAGGGUCUCAGCUCCUAUCCCCAGUGUCCUGCAGAACAGCCCCUCUCUGCCCUGUCCCUCCCCAUCGGUCUCUGCAAGCUAUGGGAAGAUGCCCAUGAGAUCAUUAAUCAAUGGCUUUUAAAGGCUUUUGUGUUCAAAGUAGGGCUGGAACUUCAGAGUUCCCCUUCUGAGCCCAAAUGUAGUUACCGCUCUGCAGCUGUUUUGAGAAAAGACAGCAGCUCAGAAGCCAGCCCUUGAAAAGGUACCUGAAUCCUAACACAAAAUGGCACCGAUGACAAGAGACACAAAACCAACGACAAGAAGGGACUCAAAGCUAUCGGAAGUCUUCCAGUCUUCCUCUUCCUUUGCUUUUCAUCUGAACAUGACUGGGAUGAGGGAAUGGACUUCCCUCCACAUAACCUUCUUACUGUUAGCAACCAGAGCUUUAAAAAAAAAAAAAACAAAAAAAAAAACUACCAUGCAGCACAUAAAAAAAAAACCCACCACUUAAAAAAUGUCACAUCAAAGGUAAGAAAAUUAGAAAUGUGUGAAAAGGAAACAAAAAUGCGUGGACUAUUUCAGACAAUUUUCUGUGAUUAAGAAACAUGUGGGAUGCCACAUGCAUUUUCACAUAGGGGAAAGCUAGUGUUUAACACCACUGCUUAACCGUAGUCUAAAAACCAUCAGCAGCACUGCAGUAGGCUCUAGCGUAACCAGACCGGUGUUUUGGUGCUUGUGCGUGUCGUGAGAAACUUUGCUGGUUAGGCACAGCACAAAAAGAAAAAAAAAAUAGAAUAGAAAAGAAUAGAAAAGAAUAGAAAUAAAACGUUCUACUAAAUGCACAAGAGAUUCUUAGUCAAAGAAAGCAAAUAUUUCAAAUUACAAAUUCUCCAAGCUAGAGUGUUUUAAAGGGAGCAAUAAUGGGAAAAGGAAUGAUGAAUUAUGUGUUCAGAAAAUUUCCAUAUCAGGUAACUAAACAGUGUUUCUGCACAAACACCAAGCCAUCAACACCCCUACAAUAGUGCAGGACCUGCUUGAAGGACACCAGUUCCUGAGUUCAGCUAGGGAAAAAAAGAGGGAAAGAAAGAAAUUCUUCUCUUAAUCCUUGCUGAAAUCUGCAUGCAAUGGAACUGCAAAUGGAUCUUCUUUAUGCUUUUAACACCUAUACACA
rnacentral:lncRNA from 1 species